UACAGAGGUCCCAAGCGUUGUUCGGAUUUAUUGGGCGUAAAGAGCGUGUAGGCGGUCAGGUAGGUCGGUUGUGAAAACUGGAGGCUCAACCUUCAGAGGUCGACCGAAACCCCCUGGCUAGAGUCCGGGAGAGGAGAGUGGAAUUCCUGGUGUAGCGGUGAAAUGCGCAGAUAUCAGGAAGAACACCCGUGGCGAAAGCGGCUCUCUGGAACGGUACUGACGCUGAGACGCGAAAGCGUGGGGAGCGAACAGG
rnacentral:rRNA from 1 species